GUGCUAUUAAAUUUUUACCAACAAAAAUGUCAUUCAAAAUACUUAUUGAAGCAUUGUGACUAGACCAUGAAGCUUGAAUGAUUUGAUUAUUCGAAAUCCUAACAUAUAUAAAAGGAGUUCAAUUUACCAUGGUAAAGAAGGAGGAGGAGGUCAAAUUACCAAGGCUCAGUUAAAUAAUCAAAACAUCUUUCCCAACAUGUUUUAAAAUACAUAUCAACUACUUAUUGGAGUAUUAUU
rnacentral:lncRNA from 1 species